CCGAUCUCACACAUGAGAAAAGAAAACUUCUUCUUCUCCCAUUACAGUGGACCUAUUUUCUUUGUCUCCCAUCUUUUUACCAGCAGAUCAAAUCAAUCCAUCGUCUCACCCUCUCUCAGAUCAUCAACUCAUCACCCAUGCCUCUAUUACCAUCUUUUCCCUUUGUCAAACUAGUUGCGUGCCCUUUCUAUCCUCAUCCAUUUCAGUCAAAACCCUAGGCUAUGAAAUACAAAAUUAGGUCGUAUGACUGCUUUUCAAAAGUGACAGAAUUGAAAGCUAGAGGUUUGAAUUUGUUUCCCCUUUUCAGACACCAACAAAGACAGCAAGGAAGUGAUAAGAUUAUGGUGGUUGUUUAUAAUGAAGUUUAUCCACAAAUUGGGUUAGUCAAAGACAAGGUCAGGCGUGAAAGCUAGGUCUGAAUUUUCAGUUCUCUACAACAUCAACAUCAAUCAAUUGAUGAAGAUAAGUCCAGUGGAUACAUGUGAAUGAAGAGUGCUUGGUGGUACCUGUGGUGAUGCUAUUCAAGUCAAGGUUAGGAGUGAGAGGAGCGAAACAACCUGUGUGUUGUGCCUAAACCCGGUCUUAUACCGGCAGUAUCGUUCCUCAACUUUAAUAUUCUUGUCUUGAAUGAUACACCAUCUUUGCAUGCAAACUGAACUAGCUGCUAAGCAUUGUCAAACCCCCUGCAACAUAAAACAUCUUUGUGCAUCUGUGACAUUUGAGUAACCUAUUUGCUAGCUGAAGUUAUUAUUCA